rnacentral:rRNA from 1 species
GUGAGGAAUUUUCCGCAAUGGGCGAAAGCCUGACGGAGCAAUGCCGCGUGAAGGAUGAAGGCCUAUGGGUUGUAAACUUCUUUUCUCAGAAAAGAAUUAUGACGGUAUCUGAGGAAUAAGCAUCGGCUAACUCUGUGCCAGCAGCCGCGGUAAGACAGAGGAUGCAAGCGUUAUCCGGAAUGAUUGGGCGUAAAGCGUCUGUAGGUUGUUUAAAAAGUAUUCUGUCAAAGAUUAGGGCUUAACCCUAGAUAGGCAGAAUAAACUUUUAAGCUAGAGUUUGGUAGAGGCAGAGGGAAUUCCCGGUGGAGCGGUGAAAUGCGUAGAUAUCGGGAGGAACACCAAAGGCGAAGGCACUCUGCUGGGCCAAUACUAACACUGAGAGACGAAAGCGUGGGGAGCAAACAGGAUUAGAAACCCUAGUAGUCC